GUGAACCCCGGGCCAGCAGCAGGGGUAUGACGUUGGUCGCAAGGUUUAUCCGGAAGUAAUGGGCGUAAAGGGCAUCUAGGCGGUCAAUCAAGUCGAAGGUGAAAACUUGUGGCUCAACCAUAAGCGUGCCUACGAAACUGAUUAACUAGAGUACUGGAGAGGUGGACGGAACUAAACGAGUAGAGGUGAAAUUCGUAGAUAUGUGUAGGAAUGCCGAUGAUGAAGAUAGUUCACUGGACAGAAACUGACGCUGAAGUGCGAAAGCUAGGGGAGCAAACAGGAUUAGAUACCCCUGUAGUC
rnacentral:rRNA from 1 species